UACGGAGGGUGCGAGCGUUGUCCGGAAUCACUGGGCGUAAAGGGCGCGUAGGCGGCUCGGUAAGUAGGGGGUGAAAUCCUGCGGCUUAACCGCAGGGCUGCCUUCUAAACUGUCGAGCCCGAGCACGGUAGAGGCAGAUGGAAUUCCCGGUGUAGCGGUGGAAUGCGUAGAGAUCGGGAAGAACAUCAGUGGCGAAGGCGGUCUGCUGGGCCGUUGCUGACGCUGAGGCGCGACAGCGUGGGGAGCAAACAGG
rnacentral:rRNA from 1 species